rnacentral:rRNA from 1 species
UUGAAAGGGAAACGAUUGAAGUCAGUCAUACCAACGGGAAAUCAACCUUUUGAGCUCGGUCUCGUGGGUUUUGAAGAGUUUCAAAGCCUUCGGAUUCGCGGGAUUGGGAUCUCUCGGUGUACUUUUUCGUACGGUUAGUCAACAUCGGUUUUGAAUGUCAUAAAAUGACUGGAGGAAUGUAGCUUCGAUCUCGUAUUGAAGUGUUAUAGCCUUUGGUAGAUGUGAUGUUUGAGACCGAGGAUUGCAACGGAUACCCUUCAGGGCUAUUCGUCUGAUCUCUGAUACGUUGCCUUGAUGUUGAAAGCUUGCUUAUGAUGUUAGGGUAUUACGGUCAAAAGGUUAGAACGAAUUACAUUCGUUAAGGAUGUUGACGUA